rnacentral:rRNA from 1 species
AUUGAACGCUGGCGGCAGGCCUAACACAUGCAAGUCGAAUGGUAACAGGAAACAGCUUGCUGUUUCGCUGACGAGUGGCGGACGGGUGAGUAAUGUCUGGGAAACUGCCUGAUGGAGGGGGAUAACUACUGGAAACGGUAGCUAAUACCGCAUAACGUCGCAAGACCAACGAGGGGGACCUUCGGGCCUCUUGCCAUCAGAUGUGCCCAGAUGGGAUUAGCUAGUAGGUGGGGUAACGGCUCACCUAGGCGACGAUCCCUAGCUGGUCUGAGAGGAUGACCAGCCACACUGGAACUGAGACACGGUCCAGACUCCUACGGGAGGCAGCAGUGGGGAAUAUUGCACAAUGGGCGCAAGCCUGAUGCAGCCAUGCCGCGUGUAUGAAGAAGGCCUUCGGGUUGUAAAGUACUUUCAGCGGGGAGGAAGGGAGUAAAGUUAAUACCUUUGCUCAUUGACGUUACCCGCAGAAGAAGCACCGGCUAACUCCGUG